UACGGAGGAGGCAAGCGUUAUCCGGAAUUAUUGGGCGUAAAGCGUCCGCAGGUGGCACCUCAAGUCUGCUGUCAAAGACCGGGGCUUAACCCCAGAAAGGCAGUGGAAACUGAAGCGCUAGAGUGCAGUAGGGGUAGAGGGAAUUCCCGGUGUAGCGGUGAAAUGCGUAGAGAUCGGGAAGAACAUCGGUGGCGAAAGCGCUCUGCUGGACUGCAACUGACACUCAGGGACGAAAGCUAGGGGAGCGAAUGGG
rnacentral:rRNA from 1 species